UACAGAGGUCCCAAGCGUUGUUCGGAUUCAUUGGGCGUAAAGGGUGCGUAGGCGGCGCGGUAAGUCGGGUGUGAAAUUUCGGAGCUUAACUCCGAAACUGCAUUCGAUACUGGCGUGCUUGAGGACUGGAGAGGAGACUGGAAUUCAUGGUGUAGCAGUGAAAUGCGUAGAGAUCAUGAGGAAGACCAGUGGCGAAGGCGGGUCUCUGGACAGUUCCUGACACUGAGGCACGAAGGCCAGGGGAGCAAACGGG
rnacentral:rRNA from 1 species